rnacentral:lncRNA from 1 species
CUCAAAAGUAAAUAAAUAAUAAAUUUAAAAACCUAAACGUUGUAGAUAAAAUGUUAAGGAUGUUUUAGGGCAGAGCUGAAAGAACAUCAGAAUAUAUUUAAAGUGGGGAGCCAAUGAAGCUUAUUGAAAGGCAAGGAGGUGACAUGAUCAAAGCUGGUCCUUGAUGGUAAAUCCAAUGUUAUGGAGGCUGAAUUUGAGAAAAGAGAGAAAGGAGUUAGGUGACUAUCACAAUAGUGUAAGUGAGAAAUUAGACUGUUUGGUGGAAGGAAUGGGAGAAGAGAAUGACAUUGGAUACAGUAUCCACAGAUCUUGACCAGUGAUUUAAUUUGAAGUUGAAAAGAGAAAGAAAUCAACAAUGAGCCCCGGAUUUUACACCUAGCUGCCUGAUGGAACAAUGAAACAAUGUCUUCUGCAGAAGUGGGAAACAGGAGUCUGGUUCUGGCAAGAAAUAAUGACUUAGGUUUAUCCCUCUGAAAGAGCUAGUACUGCCUCUUCUAGGCAUCCUUCUAUGAAACUGCAAAUAGUGGGAAUUUAUUUUCUCAGCUUUCUUUAUUUACAGGAGUCCCUAUGAAAAUCAUGGAGUCUUGGGACUUCUGAGGCAAGAGGAAAGACGGCAAAAGCAGAGGCUUACUGAAUUAUUUUCAUCCAUGCCCUUUUAAAAUAUGGUUGGUAGAAAUUUGCCAUUUGAGACUAGAAUCCCAUUCGGAAUCAUGUAAGUCUCUUUUGACUCCACGAGGACAUCUUUCACCCAGUUUUGGGAAAUCUGAGGAAUGGAUUCUUCUACAGACUGAUAAAAUAUCACAAGGUCCAAGAGUUUGUGUGAGAAAGAGGACAUCAAGUGAUGGAUGUGAACGUGGUAGACAUACAAUGGAAGGCAAGAAGGUAUCUCAACACAGCAGAACAAGACCCCAUGAGGAGCCCAGAAAAAAAAUAAAGAAGGUUCCUCACUGGUUAGGAAUUCAAAAGCAGUCCUGGCAACCUCAUAGCAUCUUUACCUCAGAAGCAGGCAGCUCUGGUUACUCCACCAUUUUCAGGAACAAGGUUUUUCUCUCCCCCUCUGCUGCAUUUCCUCUGCGGCUCCUGAUCCAUCUGCCUCUACCUUCUUCCUAGCAUCAAAUUUCCUCCCAGGAGACAACAUGAAUGGGUUAAGAAGUACCCAAUGAGGGCUGCUCCAACUGGACAGCAUCUUUGAAACUGGGACCUCACAGAUGGUCAUCACAGGCCCCUGAUGCCUGGGUACCCAGCGACCAACCCCAGUCUAGUCUGUCUAUAGCAACAUAGGUGAAGGGGAGUCUCAGGGGCUGCCUAAAGGGCUCAGAAUGUGGUGAGUACUUAAGACUGCAUGGAUUUUCACUGUUUACAUGAAUAUAGGACAAGUAUUCACAGAACUAUUAGCUAGAUCUGUGAACAAAACAUUAAUAACAUUGUAUGUCCAUGUCUGAACCCCUGAAAUUCCAACAACCACCACCCGCCUACCAACUUGCAGCAAACCGGCUCUCUCCACAGUCUUCCCCAGAUCAGGGAGAAACAAUUCCAUCCUUCCAGUACUCAGACUGUAAAACUGGAUUCAUUCUGAUUCCUCUCUCACACAUCCCACACCUGAUCUGACAGGAAAUCCUAUAAACUCUGCCAUUAAAAUAUAUCCAGAAACAGGCCAGGCACAAUGGCUCAUGCCUCUAAUCCCAGCACUUUGGGAGGUCGAGGCGGGCGGAUCAUGAGGUCAGGAGUUCGAGACCAGCUUGGCCUACAUGGCAAAACCCUGUCUCUACUAAAAAUACAAAAAUUAGCUAGGUGUGGUGAUGCACACCUGUAAUCCCAGCUACUUGGGAGGCUGAGCUAGGAGAAUCACUUGAACCCGGGAGGCACAGGCUGCAGUAAGCCAAGAUCGUGCCACUGCACUCCAGCCUGGGCGACAGAGUAAGACUCUGUCUCAAAAAAAAAAAAUAUAUAUAUAUAUAUAUAUAUGUCCAGUAAUGUGCAACUUUCACAGUCUCCACCAGGAUCAUCACAGUCUAACCACUGCUUCCUCCAGCCUGAACUUACUGCAAGAGGCCACUCACUGGUCUCCAGGCAUCCACUCUUGCUUCCCCCACGCACCCCACCACCAGUGUCUAUUCUCAACAGAGCAGCCAAAAUUGUCCUUUUAAACAUUGGUUGGAUUGUGUCUUCUGUCUGUUCAAAACUCUCCAGUAUGUCCACAUGGAUCUCAAAAUAAAACCAAAGUUCUGGCCAGGCACAGUGGUUCGUGUCUGUAAUCCCAGCACUUUGGGAGGCUGAGAAGGGAGGGUGGCUGGAGCCCAGGAAUUCAAGACCAGCCUGGGCAACAUGGCAAAACCCCAUCUCUCCAAAAAAUACAGAAAUUUGCUAGGCGAGGUGAUGUGUGUUUGUAGUCCCACCUACUCAGGAGGCUGAGGUGGAAGGAUCACUUGAACCCAGGAGGUUGAGGCUGCAAUGAGCUGUGAUCACGUCACUGCACUCCAGCCUGGGUGACAGAAUGAGACUCUGCCAAAAAAAAAAAUUCAAAGUUCUUACCACAGCCUACAAGACCUGCCAUGACCUGGUCCUUCCUACCACCUGUCUCAUCUUUGCACUCUCACUCACUCUGUACCAACCACACUGGCCUCCUGGAUGUUUCUGGAACAUACCAAACAUGCUCUAAUCACCAGUCUUUGCACUGGAUUUUUCUUCAUUCUGGGAUGUUCUUCCCUUGGAACUCCACAGGGCUAACCCCCACAGUUCCUGCACAUCUAUCAAUGAUGUUUAACAAACCACCCCACUUCGCCUCUGCAGUAUUCCCAAUCGCCACACCUGCCCUGUGUGGUAUUUUAUCACAUACCAUGUAAUUAACUUAUUUGCUAUCUUUAGGAAAAGGGUUUUUUUUUAAAUUUUUUGUUUGCAUGUUUUGUUUUCUUUUUGCUUUUGGUAUCUCUUCCCCUGGUAGAAUGAAAGCUCCGUGAGAAAACCUAGACGAAUCUCUGAAACUUAAUGCUCAAUAAAUGUUUGUUGGUGAAUGCCUGAUUUACAGGACAGCUGAAGCAGUUUAUUAAUUUAGAAGAGCUUAUUAAUUUAGAAGUUAUCAACUAUUGUAAAACUUCCACUGCAGUUUGAAGUUUGAUGUGAUGGGUUGAAAAAAACCACAAUUAGCAAAGUGCACUCUCCUUUUUUUCUAUUUAUCUUCUAAUCACCAGUCUGCUCUGAUGCUGAUUGACACACAGAUACUGAUGUGUUGUUUCCCAUAAAUUCACAAGCCAGUGAGUCAGUCCUUCAGGUAAUAAACAGAUGGCUGUCGGCCAGGUGAGAUGAAAAGGCAUGGUUGCCAUCCUCGAGGAAUUUACGUGUAGCAUGCGUGAUUUAUUGCACUAAGGUAUAAAUAUAAGGUAUAAGAAAUAUCUUACUGGUUUGUUGUGGUGGUUUCUUGUGAUUUUUUCUGUCUCUAAAUAAAAUUAAAUCUGCUCCAUUCCCUCUGAACCAAGCUUAGGCUGAGAUUCUCUGCUGUGGGUCCC